rnacentral:lncRNA from 8 species
AACCUUAUGGGCCCUGGUCAAAAGUAGUGCACUAAAUAGGGAAUAGGGUGCCUUUUGAGAUGCGUCCACUGUCUCUUUUCUUUCAAGCUGCCUUUUUUGGUUUGCACCCUAAUUUUCACCCUUUGACAUACUUUGUAAAAGGUUUAAACCUAUGUCUGUCUUUUCUUCAGGGGCCUCAGGGAGUCAGAGGGGCCACAGGCUCCGAGGGAAACCCUGGACCUGAUGGGGAGGCUGGGUUUGAUGGGCCUCCAGGGCCUCCUGGGACAGUGGGAGCCACUGGUUUCACAGGCCGUGUUGGCGCUCAGGGAGUUAACGGCUCACAGGUGAGGGGACAUUUUGACCCCCAGGAGAUGAGGGUCUUCCCAUAA